CCUACGGGAGGCAGCAGUGGGGAAUAUUGGACAAUGGGCGAAAGCCUGAUCCAGCAAUGCCGCGUGAGUGAAGAAGGCCUUCGGGUUGUAAAGCUCUUUUACCCGGGAAGAUAAUGACUGUACCGGGAGAAUAAGCUCCGGCUAACUCCGUGCCAGCAGCCGCGGUAAUACGGAGGGAGCUAGCGUUGUUCGGAAUUACUGGGCGUAAAGCGUACGUUGGCGGCUUGGUAAGUCAGAGGUGAAAGCCCACGACUCAAUCGUGGAACUGCCUUUGAGACUGCUUCGCUUGAAGAUGGGAGAGGUUAGUGGAAUUCCGAGUGUAGAGGUGAAAUUCGUAGAUAUUCGGAAGAACACCAGUGGCGAAGGCGGCUAACUGGACCAUUCUUGACGCUGAGGUACGAAAGCGUGGGGAGCAAACAGGAUUAGAUACCCUGGUAGUCCACGCCGUAAACGAUGAUAACUAGCUGUCGGGGCUCUUGGAGCUUCGGUGGCGCAGCUAACGCAUUAAGUUAUCCGCCUGGGGAGUACGGCCGCAAGGUUAAACUUAAAUGAAUUGACGG
rnacentral:rRNA from 1 species